rnacentral:rRNA from 1 species
AGCUGCGUUCUUCAUCGACCUACGAGCCGAGUGAUCCACCGAUAAGACUAGAAUUUUUCGUUUGUUUGCUUUCAUAGCAUAAAAAAAAUGUGGAAAAAAAGGUUUUGCUGGCGUCCCCACACUGAAUGGGCUCAUUAAGUCUUAAGCCAUACACGA